rnacentral:tmRNA from 1 species
GGGGGCGAAACGGCUUCGACAGGGAUCGGCGGCCGGCGCGGGAGCGAGCCGGGGACCCGAGCCUCGUUAACAAGCGGGAAAACCAAUAGACGCCGACAGCGAGUUGGCUCUGGCCGCUUAAGCGGCCCGUCCCUCCCCGGAGGGCCCGCGACCGGGGAAGGGGCGUCAUGCAGCGGGAUCACCGAGGCCCCACUCCCGUAAAGGCCGAGGGAAAUCCUAACGGGAUAGCCGCCGGCAAGCCCUCCGCCGGGCGACCCGACGGCGAAACCUGAAACGGCGGAUACGCUCGUAGAGCCCACCCGGCCGGAUUUCUGGACGGGGGUUCGACUCCCCCCGCCUCCACCA